UAGGGAAUAUUGCGCAAUGGACGAAAGUCUGACGCAGCCACGCCGCGUGAGUGAGGAAGGCCUUCGGGUUGUAAAGCUCUGUCGCCUGGGAAAAACGGCUAUCCGGGGAAAGUUCGGGUAGCGUGAUGGUACCAGGAAAGGAAGCACCGGCAAACUCUGUGCCAGCAGCCGCGGUAAUACAGAGGGUGCAAGCGUUGUUCGGAAUUACUGGGCGUAAAGCGUGCGUAGUCGGUAUUGAGAGUCGCGGGUGAAAUCCCAGGGCUUAACCCUGGAACUGCCUGCGAGACCUCAGUACUAGAGUGUGAGAGGGGAUAGUGGAAUACCCAGUGUAGCGGUGAAAUGCGUAGAGAUUGGGUGGAACACCGGUGGCGAAGGCGGCUAUCUGGCCACUCCUGACACUGAAACACGAAAGCGUGGGUAGCGAAUGGGAUUAGAUACCCCCGUAGUCCCUGAGCGGGCUGGCAAGGCGCAU
rnacentral:rRNA from 1 species